rnacentral:rRNA from 1 species
GUCGCCGUGGUGGCAGGGGGCGCGGUAGUGGGGAGGUGGCUAGCGUUAAUCGGAAUUACUGUGCGUAAAGCGUGGGGAGGAGGUUAGUUAAGCGAGAUGUGAAAUCCCCGGGCUGAACCUGGGAAUUGCAUUUGUGACUGGAUGGCUAGAGUACGGUAGAGGGGGAUAGAAUUCCGGGUGUAGCAGUGAAAUGCGUAGAUAUGCGGAGGAAUACCGAUGGCGAAGGCAAUCCCCUGGGCCUGUACUGACGCUCAUGCACGAAAGCGUGGGGAGCAAACAGGAUUAGAUACCCGGGUAGUC